rnacentral:lncRNA from 1 species
AUAAUGAUGACAAAUAUCAAGAUAAAUGGAUUUUGUUUGUAUUUAUUUAUAUUGUGUCAUCAAAAGUAUGCACUUACAAAUAAGGCCAUGUCAAGUUGGGAUGUAAGGAGUGCAUUGUACUCCAGCAGCAGAAUUCAGAUACAGUAUAAAACCUGGAAAUUAUAUUUAUAAAAAUAUUUCCACAACAAAUUAACUCUGGCACUCUGACAGCAACUACUUUUGGCAUGGCCCUAUGUACAAAUGUAUAUAUAUACUUCUACACCCAGACCCUAUUUUGGAAAGCAGUAAUCCUACCACAUAAUAUGAGUCGUUAUGUUAUCAAGGGAAAAAUGAUUUCUAGAACAAUGCAAAUAAGGAAUUUUGCAACUCAAAGCGAAAUAUCGUUUUAAUUAUUUUACAAAAUAAGUUUGAAAAAAUGAAAACUUAAAUUACUGAAAAUGAUUAUAUUAUAGGUGUAACAAACCAUCCAUCACUCUCUUUAUUUUCAAAAAUCAAAUUUGCUACAAAGUUUAGAAUAAAGUUUGCAUAACCAAAGUAUAUCUAAAGAAUUGGAUGAUGUCAUUAUAAGUAAGAAAACUGGAUCAAGUAUAAAAUAUAUGGGAACAUAGGCUAAGAUGGGUAUCGGUGGAGCUAUUGAAAAAAAUACCUGUUUUAAUGCUUAGUAUUUACAAUAAAGUAGAAGGAAAAACUAAUGGCAUAUUCUAGGAUCACAUCCUAAGGUGAGAGGUGUUCAACAUAUCCACUAUGUUCAUUCAAAUACCUCCUUAUUCAUCUUCAUAUACUGUUUGCAGCUCAAAAAACUCUAUCAUUGAGCAACCAACAAGCCUCCUAAAUUCACUAUUUAUAAAAAUAAAUAAAACAAACUGUUUUAUUGUUAAAAAAAGUUUUACCUAUAGAGUCUCCUUGAGUAUUCUAGAACAGCACUUUCUAAACUUUUUAAAUCCAUGAGCCAAUUUUAGAACAACAUAUUUUUUUUCUACCCAUCUAACUUUAAUGGAUAUGAGUUAUGAUUGUAUAAUUACAAAAUUUUCAUACUUAAAGAACUAUUUUUAGUGAUCCACCAAAAUUCAGGAUAGAAUCCACAGUUUUGGAAAUGCUGUUCAAGACAAUUCUUUAAAUAUGCUAGAACACAGUGCCAUCUCUAGAUAGUCGUGGUCAAUGAAUAGUCAUCUGCUAAACCAAGAAGGUUUUAGAAUCCCAAAACUUUACGUUAGAAUCCAAAAGCACAGAUUGGCAAAGUGAAAGCGGUUUGUUUUGGUGUGGCACUUUCG